rnacentral:lncRNA from 1 species
UAGUAGACAAAGUAGUCGUUUGUUUUUUCAGCUUUUAUGUUCUUACUCCCCCAUCCUGUCGGUUUCUCUUGCGUGAUUCCCCCCAGGUCGUGCUCCUCAAUAGCCAACUCUUCUUUAAGUCGUUGGAUCAUCUCAUCAAUGCCCAGAAUUACCAUUACAAUUUUAUUACUAUAUAUCAGACAAUAAUUAUCUUUUCCACAAUUAUCUUUUCCACAAUUAUCUUUUCCAUUAUUUUUUUUUCCACUAUCAAACCGGAGGAGCAAUUUUCCCCUUUGCAGACAAAUCCCUAGCGAAGAGAAGUUCGCAAUCCGCUAACGCAAUCAGCGAGUGAAUCGCGUGAAGUAGAAGCAUUCGUCUGAUCGCAAAUCGAAGGGAAGGCUGCCUGACCGCGAGCGAAGGCAUGUCAGUAAGCGCGAGCGAGUCGAGCGAGCCCGGUCGGCGAUUCGACCGAGAGUUGAAGACCGGUGCCAGCGAGCGAGCGAGAGCAAGCCAUGCCAACGCGCGAGUUGAAGUCCGGUCACUGACCGCGAGCGAGCCCUGGCGGCGAUCGACCGAGAAAGAGGGAUUGGAAGAGAACGAGCAUGCGAGAUCGAGAAAUGGAGAGCGAGCGAAGUCACCCCAGAUCAGCUGCACUCCACGCCUAGCCUCCAGAUCAAAUCUCCUCCCUAACCUCUUUUUUAACUUGAUCGAAUGACCUCGAGUGAGACCUCGGCUCCACGCCUCCCAGUGACCGCGAGUGAGAUCAUUUCGCGAGCAACAGUUUUCCACUUCCGACGAGCGACAGAUACAACUACCAGAAGAUAGGAGGAAACCUCGCUAUUGGUUUUUGACUUUCAAGCCGAAGACUAACACGCUACAUCUAUUCCAUACAUCUUAUCUACUUUUAGUUGUUUAGUUAAUUGAUUUGUAAUCUUUUAAUUUUUUAUUUAAUCAAAAUCGCCUUAAAAAAAAAGAAACCCAGUUGGACAGGGCAACUCUGAAUUCUCAACUGUGGUGGAUGCAGAUCUUGUUUUUCAAUAAUGUGGU